rnacentral:rRNA from 1 species
GACGGAGGAGGCAAGCGUUAUCCGGGAUUAUUGGGCGUAAAGGGUACGUAGGCGGCUGGUCAAGUCUGGGGUCAAAGGCCACAGCUCAACUGUGGAAAGGCCCUGGAAACUGACCGGCUAGAGUGAGGUAGGGGUUGCGGGAAUUCCCGGUGUAGCGGUGAAAUGCGUAGAGAUCGGGAAGAACACCUGAGGCGGAAGCGCGCAACUGGGCCUCAACUGACGCUGAGGUACGAAAGCUACGGGAGCGAAUGGG